CUGUAUUGCGUAGGGGAAAUGAGUCGUAGUUUUGUAGUUUCUUCCCCUAUAGCAGAGCGUAUAAAAGCCUGAGCACAACUAGACAAUUCAUGCAUUAUUCAUAAGGCGAAAGCCUGAAUAACAUCGCCGUGAAGAUAUAUAGAAAUUACAAGUUAAUAAAGAAAGAUUUAAAAGGAUUAUACGAAGGCGAAGAUAUAUUAAAGAUAAAGAAUUGUCAGGAAUUGAAGAGUUGUACUCAGUCGUGAAAAGAGAUAAGUUUGAACAGUACAUUAUUAUUAAGAAUUAUAUUAUAUAAGUAAAAGUUAUAGAGACGCUAAUUAUUGAGAUUUGAGUAAUAUAUAAGUAAGAAAUAAAUAUAUCAUUGAAAGUAAUUGGUUUCACAAUCUUUGUUGCGAGCGAAUAGAACCAAAAGCGCGGCCAAAUAAAAUAGUAAGGACCGGCUCGUAACAGUAUAUAUGUAUAUAUAUA